rnacentral:rRNA from 1 species
GACGAACGCUGGCGGCGUGCUUAACACAUGCAAGUCGAACGAUGAAGCCGGAGCUUGCUCUGGUGAAUUAGUGGCGAACGGGUGAGUAACACGUGAGUAACCUGCCCUUGACUCUGGGAUAACUGCUAGAAAUGGUAGCUAAUACCGGAUACGACCCUCGGAGGCAUCUCCAGGGGGUGGAAAGAAUUUCGGUCAAGGAUGGACUAGCGGCCUAUCAGCUAGUUGGUGAGGUAACGGCUCACCAAGGCGACGACGGGUAGCCGGCCUGAGAGGGUGACCGGCCACACUGGGACUGAGACACGGCCCAGACUCCUACGGGAGGCAGCAGUGGGGAAUCUUGCGCUAAUGCGGGAAACCGUGACGCAGCGACGCCGCGUGAGGGAAGAAGGCCUUCGGGUUGUAAACCUCUUUCAGGAGGGGCGAAGCUACUCGGGUGAAUAGCCCAGAGGGUGACGGUACCUCCAGAAGAAGCCCCGGCUA